CAUCCGCGUGUGUGAAGAACGCCUUCGGGUUGUAAAGCACUUAGUGAGGGAAGAAACAGCUUGGCCACACCAAGCCUUGACGGUACCUCAAGAAUAAGCACCGGCUAACUCUGUGCCAGCAGCCGCGGUAAUACAGAGGGUGCAAGCGUUAAUCGGAUUUACUGGGCGUAAAGGGUGCGUAGGUGGUUGUAUAAGUCGGAUGUGAAAGCCCGGGGCUUAACCUCGGAACUGCAUUCGAUACUGUAUGACUAGAGUUCGGUAGAGGGCGGCGGAAUUUCCGGUGUAGCGGUGAAAUGCGUAGAUAUCGGAAGGAACAUCAAUGGCGAAGGCAGCCGCCUGGGCCUGAACUGACACUGAGGCACGAAAGCGUGGGUAGCAAACAGGAUUAGAUACCCUGGUAGUCCACGCUGUAAACGAUGAGAACUUGACGUUGGUUCGUUUUACGAAUCGGUGUCGAAGCUAACGCGCUAAGUUCUCCGCCUGGGGAGUACGGCCGCAAGGUUGAAACUCAAAGGAAUUGACGGGGGCCCGCACAAGCGGUGGAGUAUGUGGUUUAAUUCGAUGCAACGCGAAGAACCUUACCUGGUCUUGACAUCUACGGAAUCUUUCAGAGAUGAGAGAGU
rnacentral:rRNA from 1 species